AGCGAACGCUGGCGGCAGGCUUAACACAUGCAAGUCGAGCGGGCAUCUUCGGAUGUCAGCGGCAGACGGGUGAGUAACACGUGGGAACGUACCCUUCGGUUCGGAACAACUCUGGGAAACUGGAGCUAAUACCGGAUACGCCCUUAUGGGGAAAGGUUUACUGCCGAAGGAUCGGCCCGCGUCUGAUUAGCUAGUUGGUGGGGUAACAGCCUACCAAGGCGACGAUCAGUAGCUGGUCUGAGAGGAUGGUCAGCCACACUGGGACUGAGACACGGCCCAGACUCCUACGGGAAGCAGCAGUGGGGAAUAUUGGACAAUGGGCGCAAGCCUGAUCCAGCCAUGCCGCGUGAGUGAUGAAGGCCUUAGGGUUGUAAAGCUCUUUUGUCCGGGACGAUAAUGACGGUACCGGAAGAAUAAGCCCCGGCUAACUUCGUG
rnacentral:rRNA from 1 species